rnacentral:lncRNA from 1 species
AAUGCAAAAUGAAAAUAUGAAAUUAUAUGUCAUAUUUGUUAAGAUAGAAAAAAAAUAAAAUUAAAUAUUAGUAGAACUACGGAUCCGUUUAUAUGUUGCUGCAGACUUCUUUGUAGACAACGUUAAAUAUGGAAGACUUCAUAUUGUUGUUUUCAUCGUGUAUUAAGAUUUUGAUCCCGUUUUUGCUUGUUACCCUUGAAAUUGCCACAUAUAAUUGGUCAUGACUAAAAACAUCUUUUGGUAUAUAGAGUCCAAUCAAACGGUUGUCCUUGAGAUUUGUUAAUGGUCAUUGCAUAUGAUACAAUGACCGAAACUGUCUCCUAUUUAAUUUGAACGACCAUCAUUGUAAUCCCUCUCUGGAUUACAAACUAUAUAUAUAUAUAUAUAUAAUAUAUAUAUAUAUAUAUAUAUAUAUAUAUAUAUAUAUAUAUAUAUAUAUAAUAUAUAUAUAUAUAUAUAUAUAUAUAUAUAUAUAUAUUAUAUAUAUAUAUAUAUAUAUAAUAUAGUAUAUAUAUAUAGAUAGAUAUAUAUAUAUAGAUAGAUAUAUUAAAUCAAAAAUAGUUAUUCAUCACAAGAGGUAAAGUUAUAUUAUUACCUCAACUCACCAUACUUCUCAAAAAUACACAAGUCCCAAGGACUCAUAUUUUCUCAAAAAGUUAUCAUUUUCUCAAACAUUUUUAAAACUUAACAUUUACUCAAAAAUUAUUUAUUAUUAUUGUGUCAGACCCUUAACAGGGCAUGGAUAACCAUUUCCCUUAUUUUACUCAAAAAUGACCCUAAGAUCACAAAAAGGACUCUAAAGUCAACAAUUGCUCCAAAACGUCUCUGGAGGCUCCUGAACUCCAAAAGUUUUAGGGAAUGCUCAAAAACUCAGAAAAUGCCAAAACACCCGAAAACUCGAAAAAUGCCCAAAAAUCGCCCAAUAAAAUGGCAAACUUAAAAAUCGCCCAAAAUUGGCCCACAGCGCGACCACCUGUAUUUCGCUAAAAAGUGCUUUAUGAUAAAACAACUUAAAAAUUAAGUUAUUUUGGUUUUUGGAAAAAUUCCAGAAAUAGUCGACUAAAAAAAGGGAAAAUAGUUCAGAUCCAUGAAUCCCAAUUUUGGGGAAUCAAACAACACUGAUAAAGUCGUUCGAAACUCUGGGGUAAAUUCCAACACAUAAACAGUCAAAUACACAAAACAAGUAACCAAUAGUAUAAUAUGUCAUAUUAGAAGGUCUCACCUCCAACUACGAGGUAUGGAACCCAAUGGGGAUUUAUCCCAAAUCCCACAAUUGGAUCUAUGAUCAAAACACAAUUAUUCACAGAAAGGAAAAAUUAGGGAAAACUCAUAAAAAUCCCAAAAGAGCGUUGAUAAGAGGGUAAUGAACCUUCACUAUCUCGCAUGCCAUAACCACUUAAGUGUAGACAACCGUCCCCUCCCCCUUACCUUGAAUUUGAAGCUUUCCCUUUUUUCUUUCUCUU